rnacentral:rRNA from 1 species
CAGUCGCCGCGGUAAUACAGAGGUCUCAAGCGUUGUUCGGAUUCAUUGGGCGUAAAGGGUGCGUAGGUGGCUUGGUAAGUUGAAGGUGAAAUCUCGGGGCUUAACUCCGAAACUGCCUUCAAUACUGCUGAGCUCGAGGAUUGUAGAGGAGAAUGGAAUUCACGGUGUAGCAGUGAGAUGCGUAGAUAUCGUGAGGAAGACCAGUGGCGAAGGCGAUUCUCUGGGCAAUUCCUGGCACUGAGGCACAAAGGCCAGGGGAGCAAACGGGAUUAGAGACCCCUGUAGUCCCUGUCUCUUAUAC